ensembl:lncRNA
GGUAAUUUCACCUCCCCUCAUUCUGAAGGGGGGAAAAUAGCGGAGGCCUCUGGGAUUGGCUGCCCUUUCUGAGAAGCACUUAUCGCUGCUCACACGGCUCUCUGCAGUCUUUUCGUCCAUCAUCAAACGUGUGUUGACCGAAGAUCUCUGGCCUAUCCAAAUUUCUUCCCCAGUGAGCACAGGAGAAAGCCAACACAGUGGGAGAAAGCACUGGAGAGCAACGCUGAGCAGUGCAGGAGGGGACCUGGUGCUCCGCGUAGGAGGCGGGAUGGGAACAACACAGCCUGGCAUGAAAGCUUUCGCGUGGAGCUUUCCUUCCGUGCUGCCCUAACAGUGCGCUGAGCCGUGCUGCAGAGUGCUUCCAACAGCUGUUUGUUACAGCAGCUUGCGAGGAGAAGGAACCUCCGCCUGGUUUCUUUCCCAGGCAGCAACGAGACUGCAUUAAGAAUGCUUCAGCAUAUAAAAGCAGACCACAGGCGAAUGGUCUGAGCUUCAACAAUGCUUGCAGCUGAUAAUGUUAAUGCUAAGCUUGUGGGACACCGCUCGAACUACGCUCGAGCAAAACGAGGAGGAAUAUUUGCUUCCAGCUAAUUGCCGAGCCCGUGUGUUGUGCAAGGAAACAAAGAGCAUUGGAAAUAAAUUACCAUUUGAUCUUGAAGGUUGUGCAACAGAACUUCUCAGUUGCCUUCUCUCAUCAUCAAAAGAAUUCAGGAUGACAGGGGAGAUUUCAUGUUUUUGGCUCUGGGAACGCAGAGGCGUGCCCCGACAGGCCGGCUGUCUGCGUGCCCUGCCAGCUGCAGAGCUCUUCUGGCGGUUCCCAGCUCGGAGGUGUUUCCUGGUGUGCGAUGCGGGGCCGCGGGGUGGGCAGUGAGCUGGGAUGUGGGGAGCACAGCAUCACCCUGUCCCGGGACAGCCGCCCCGAGCCGAAGCAGGCAGGUGGGAUGGCACUGCACUCAGAGCGGCUCUGGAGCUGACAUCCAGCGCUGCACACACAACCGUGGUGAUUAAUUACUGCUGUGCUACCAACCUUGGCAUUCGUUCGUUUAUCAUUUGCAGCCUCGUUUAUCAUUUCAGCAGAAGUGCUGUCCCUCGUGCCACCACUGCUGCUGUGCCGUGCAGUCCGGGCUGUGCUCACACCCCAUGCCGCCCCGCGCUCAGCUCUAC